GAUGAAGAACGUAGCGAAAUGCGAUAAGUAAUGUGAAUUGCAGAAUUCAGUGAAUCAUCGAAUCUUUGAACGCACAUUGCGCCCGCCAGUAUUCUGGCGGGCAUGCCUGUUCGAGCGUCAUUUCAACCAUCAAGCCCCAGGCUUGUGUUGGGGACCUGCGGCUGCCGCAGGCCCUGAAAACCAGUGGCGGGCUCGCUGUCACACCGGGCGUAGUAGAUUUUAUCUCGCUCAGGGCGUGCUGCGGGUUCCGGCCGUUAAAAAGCCUUUUUUAACCAAGGUUGACCUCGGAUCAGGUAGGAAGACCCGCUGAACUUAAGCAUAUCAAUAAGCGGAGGA
rnacentral:misc_RNA from 1 species